AUGGAGAAGGACAUCGACUUCAGCUUCAGCUUCGAAAGGCAGCCAGCAUCUACUGAUUUAGAAAGCUUGACUCAAAUGAACGACAGAGUCCUAGAGGACAGCAUGUCCUCCUGGUUUGGGUCCAUUGAAAGAACAAGAACAUAUUCGAAACCACAUCUCACCAAGUACCAUGACGUGAAGUUGCUCCCCACAGACGUUGAUGUUCAAGACCUGUCACCUCCUUCUCCGGUGAUUUCACUCUUGUCUUUGGAUUCAUGUGAUUUGGAGGUUCAGAUGCUCAUAGAUGCAGAGCGCAAUGUGAACCAAGUGCAAGAUGCCACCAUCGUAGAGAGUCUCCAAAUGGAUAUGGUGGAUGACCUUGACCUCCUGGAUAAAAUGGCUGAGUGGAUGGAUCGCAGUGAAGAGGAUGGACGAUGUUUACAGGAAACAUGUGCGUUUCCAAGCUCUCUGGAUUCAGAUCUAGAGAACCUAACAGGUUCUGGUGGUGGGGCCACCAACUCCAUGUCCAAUUUGGGCCAAACGGGUCGUUCAUUUUUUGCUAAUGUUCUCUGUAGUCAAGAGCCACAUAGACGUAGUUUCCAUCAUGAUCAAAUAAACUAUGCUAUGAACCACAAUAUCAUUCUAGAAGACCGGUUUGGUCAGGUUGAACCUUGCAUGAAGACGAAUGGAAAGGAGGAUUGUUAUUUAGAUACAGAUUUUUCUGUCAUGGAUGGUAAUGUUUCAAGCAACCACAUGUUCCCAGGAUUUGAGAGACAGUUGGACCAAUCCAAAAGGAUUCUUCAUGACGACUGGGAACAACAACCUCUAAAAAGUCCAGAUCAGAUUAUGAUGCAAGAAACUGAUAUCAGAAAUGUUGACAAAAACAUUGUGCAGGUUGAGAAUCUCAACCAGACUUUAUCAGGCCCCCAAUGCCCGAUAACAUGCUGCCUUGAAGGCUUUUGUUAUCAUAAAGAAGACUCGUGUUUUUACACAAAAUUCAGAGGCAGUCACAACUUUGAGGGCGUGGCUAGAUCUUUCCCAGCCACACUGCAUAAGCUCCACCCCACUCCAAUUCCGACUCCACCUCUAGAUGAUGAUUGGUUGUUUAGUAAUAUUGUGGCAGAGGAAGAGGUAAAUAGCAUGAAUAAUACAUUUGGAAAGUACUGA
rnacentral:lncRNA from 1 species